GGAAGAAGCAGAAUCUGGAUGAAUGGCCAUAUUGCCUGUCCAUGUGUGCAUGAGGGGAGGGGCUGUCAUGUGAUUACAUGCACCUGCCACCAUUGUCACUAUGACACAGCAUUUUAUGUAGGAGUUGUUGAAAAACUUCAUGCCAAACGAAGUCUGAUUGUGGUCAAACGCUUCAAGAUAUCGAACUUUCGUGAAAACCGUGAGCUCCUCAAGGCUUUAAGGAACGUUCCAGUGUUCUCAGAUUUCCGAUAAAUGGAAAAAUGGCAGAGUAGAGCGAGUAGGAAAAUGAGAAAUGUGCUAUUGCUUGUACAUUCUGUCAUGUGAUGGUCAAAGAAAGCCAAGAUGGCUGCUGGACAGCAAGCAGCCCACAAACUGAGGACAAAAGAGGCUUAAAAUCUACCUGCAAAAAGCAGAUACAAGCAAAAAAUUGAACUAUUCAAUGGAAUGGACCCCUCUACUUUCUCCAAAAAAUAUUUGUCGAGUGAUACCAACGAUUAUAUGUUGGUCGCCUUCCUGGACAGAUGGAAACUUGGAAAAGCAUGAAAGUCUACAACUCCUUUGUGUGUGGUCCGGUCUCCUGGAGAAAUAUGCAUCGUUUUUGCUCGGCAGCGGCAGCUGUGAGCUUGGCUCCUCGGCUUCUCUCUGAGACACUUCGUGUUCACCGCAGCCAUCCGACCUCAAGAUAAUUGGAUGACUGGCCACCCUUAAACGACCCUGGCUUGGCGAGACUCCUUUCUCUUGCCUUUCUUCACAUCACAUUACGGUCCUUGUGUAUUGAGAAUUGCCUCUGCCACUGUACAUUAUUGCAACAACAGCUCAGUUUUGUUUUGCUCGCUGUUCCUUAUUACCUGCAAACACCACUUUAUUAUCAGGUCUACUGUUAUUUUUGUGAUAAAGUUUGAUUUGAAGCUUCCUGUCAUUUAUUAAUAAACAUUUUACAAUUGCUUUCUCACACAAAAUGGGGCCUGUAACAAAGCAUUUUGUAAAAUUGCAAUAAAUAGUCAUGUAACUGUUAUGAUGUUUUAUUUUAGUUUGACUCCUUUCAUUCGGUUUUAGCAACCCUGGGUUUGUGUGUUUUUGGUUGCCAUUUUAUCAUUUUCACCUGCCUUUGAUUAGAGUUCGGGACUGUCACCUGCUCCCGGGCACUAAUCAAAGAGCUACUUUUUCCUGCUUUUCUCCACACUUAGU